GAUAAAAUGGUCGAGAAUAGGCAAUAAAUUGUAAAUUUAUGUAGGAACAAUUGUUCUUUUAUCA
rnacentral:tRNA from 1 species